AACAUACAGUCCUCAGCAGCUUUAGCAUGGGCAACAAAUUAAGUCUCUGUAAAAGGCCCAAAGGACAGGGUUUGGUGAGAUUCUGGAGAGCUGGAAACAUGGAGGUUGACAGGAAUGUAAAGAAGAACUCAUUUACAUGCCAGGAGGGUGGAACACCCCAAUUCCAUGAGGAUAACUGCUCCUGUACUCCAGACCUCACCCCAUGUGUCUCUUCAUCUGGCUGGUUAUUUGUCCUUUAAGAUCUCCUUACUCAACCAGUAAAUGUGUCUUUACAUUGUUUUAGUCUUGAACUAGAAGAUGAAAGCAUCAAAUAAAGAAAUAUACUGUGGGUAUAUGGAUUACAAAAAAAGAGAUCUGUGGAAGUUUGAAGUUGAGAAUGAUGACCUAGAGUAUCUGGUGGAAGAAAUUUCUAAGCAGCAAAGUGUUCAAGAUGUGGCCUGGAUGCUUCUAACAACCUAUGCUCAGAUGUAGGCACAAAGGAAUGACUUACAUUUGGAACUUACAUUUAAACAGGAAGCAGAGCCUAAAAGUUCAGAAAAUUUGCAGGCUGAUCAUGUGGCAAAUAAAUAAAAACCUUUUACAAGAGAGAAACUCAAGCAGGCUGUUGAGCAACCAUUUGCUAGAGAUAUCUGCAUAACUGAAAAGGAGCCAAAUGCUAAUAGCCAAGACAAUGGGAAAAAGGUUUCAGUGACAUUUCAGAGAACUUCCUGGCAGCCCUUCUUACCACAGGCCCUGAAGCCUAGGAGGACUGAAUGGUUUUGUAGGCCAGGCCCAGUACCUUGCUAGCCUGCACAGCCUUGAGACACGGCUCCCCAAAUUCUGGUCACUCUGGCCCCAGCCUCAGCUCAAAGGGGCACUGGUAAAACUUGGGCCAUCACUUCAGAGGACACGAGCUAUAAUCAUUGGCAGAUUCCACAUGGUGUUAAGCAUGUGGGUGCACAGAGUGCAAGAGUUAAGAAGGCUUGGUAGCCUCUGCCUAGACUUCAGAGGAUGUAUAGAAAAGGCUGGUGUUCAGGCAGAAGGCUGCUGCAGGAGUGGAGCCCUCACAGAGAACUUCUAGUAGAGCAGUGGGGAGGGGAAAUGUGGGUUUGGAAGCCCACAGAGUCCCCAGUGGGGUAUUGCCUAAUGAAGCUGUGAGAAGGGGGCCACCAUCAUCCAGAACCAAGAAUGGUAGAUCCAUUGGCAGCUUGCACUCUAUGCCUGGAAAAGCUGCAGGCACUCAGCUGUAGCACUUGAGAGGAGCCAUGGGGCUACAUCCUGCAAAUUCACAGGGGAAGAGCUGCCCAAAGCCUUGGGAGCCCACCCCUUGCAUUAACGUGCCAUGGAUGUGAGGCAUGGAGUCAAAAGAGAUUAUUUCAGAGCUUUAAGAUUUAAUGACUGUCCUGCUAGUUUUCGGACCUGUGUGAGCUCUAGUCCCUUUCUUUGCCUGACUUCUUUCUCUUGUAAUGGGAAUGUUUACCCAAUGCUGGCACCCUCAUUGUAUCUUGGAAGUAAAUGACUUGUUUUGAUUUUACAGGCUCACAGGUGGAAGGAACUCAUUUUCAGAUGGGACUUUGGACUUGGGACUUUUGAUUGAGUUGUUGCAGAAAUGAGUUAAGAUUUUGGGGAAUUGCUGAGAAGGCAUGAUUGUAUUUUGCCAUGUGAAAAGAAUAGGUAAUUUGGGGGAAGACAAGGGUAGAAUGAUAUAGUUUAGGUAUUUGUCCACACUGAAAUUUCAUGUUGAAUUGUAAUCCCCAAUGUUGGAAGUGUGGCCUGGUGGGAGGUGUUUAGGUCAUGGGGGUUGAUCCCUCAUGUCUUGGUGCUGUCCUCUCAAUAAUGAAUGAGUUCUCUCAAGAUUUGGUUGUUGUAAAGUGUGGUACCUCCACCCCCAACUCUUUCUCUUGCUCCUACAUUCACCAUGUCAAGUACCUGUUCCCACUUUGCCUUCCACCAUGAUUGUGAAGUUCCUGAGGCCUCUCGGAAAGCAGAUGCCAGCACUAUGCUUCCUGUACAGCCUGCAAAACUGUGAGCCAAUUAAACCUCUUUUCUUAUAAAGUACCCAGUCUCAGGUAUUUCUUUAUAGCAAUGCAAGAACAGCCUAAUACAAUCAGUAAAUAUGUCAGAUUCUACAAUGAGGCUACUAUAAUGUGAAGAUAUUUUUCUUAAUCAUUUACAUUUACAAAUAGACUAAAAUUCUUGUUUUAUGUUAUUGUCUUAGUUCAUUUUGUGCUGCUAUAACGGAAUACUACAGACUGGUAAUUAAUAAACAACAGAAGUUUAUUUGGCUCAUGUCUCUGGAGAUUGGGAAGUCUAAGACUGAGGGGCCUCAUCUAGUGAAGGUCUUGCUAUGUCAUAACAUAACAUGGUGGAAGUCAUCACAUGGUGAAAGCAUGUGUAAAAGAGGAAGACAGGAGAACUCAUACUCUUAUCAGGAUCCCACUCCCACAAUAUCUAGCCCUCUCCCAGGAUAACAGCACUGAUUAUCUUAGAAGGGUCUCAACUCUCAGGACUGUUGCAUUGGGGAUUACAUUUCAAACACGUGGAUCUUGGGAGACACAUUUAAACCACAACAGUGAUGUUUUGAAUAAUAAAUAUACAUCUACAAAUGUGUUUCUUCCACCUGGCAAUGCCUUCUUCUGAUAGUUUUAUUCUGCAAAUUUCAAUUAUUCAAAUAAAAUUUCCUCAUUGGCCCUCUUUAACACUUUUUCCUCUGAAAUCUUAUAUUACUUGUUGCUUUACAAAUACUCUUUAAAAAUUAUUCCACACUGGUAUCUAAAUUCUUCCUUUUUUCCCAGUCUUAUCUUCCCAAUUGGCUUUUAAUUUCCAUCAGGAAAGGAUCCAUGUGUUUUGACUUCUUGGUACUGCUCACAGUAAUACGUAAAUAAUUAAGAUUUAAUAUAAUUGGGUUUAAUUUAAUUUCAUGUAGAUUCCAAUUGAUUUUUCCAAUUAGAUGUGUGAGAUUUUUAUUCAUUAAAAUACGCAAUUAUACUAGCAUCCAUUUUUACUUGUCCAAAGAAUGAGCUAAGAUUUAAGUUAUAUUUUGCGAUCUUGAGAUACAUUUCAUAUGCUCUUCGUUGAAUCACUUUUCUAUUCAUCUUCAAAUUCCAGCUAUAAAAUAUGAUAUGCAAUUGUCUUAGCUCAGAUUGAUCACAAAUCCUUGUUCUACAAGAUACCAUGUAUUCAUAUAUUCAUAAAAAUAUCAACAGAAAUAAUAUAUUAAUAAAUAUUUAAGUAUGUAAUUUCAGAAAGAGAUGGUAAUGUAUCAGGACAGAUUUUAGUUAGGAGACACAAUAUGCUUAUCCGAGCACAAAGUUGGUUUUUAUCAAUUGAUGUUAGUUUUUGAUUAUAUACUAUAUGUAAGUUCUCUAUUUAUAAUUAUAAUUUUC
rnacentral:lncRNA from 1 species